rnacentral:rRNA from 1 species
AGAGUUUGAUCAUGGCUCCCGAUGGACGCUGGCGGCGUGCCUAACACAUGCAAGUCGAACGGACCAAACCUGUGCAGCGGGCUGAUGAUUCGUCUGAUGCCCAAAGCGUUGGUUUGGUUAGUGGCGAACGGGUGAGUAACACGUAAGUGACCUGCCCCGAAGAGGGGGAUAACUGUUCGAAAGGGCAGCUAAUACCCCAUGUGCUCGGCGAUUCGGUUCGUCGAGUAAAGCUCCGGCGCUUCGGGAGGGGCCUGCGGCCGAUUAGCUAGUUGGUGGGGUAAUGGCUCACCAAGGCGAUGAUCGGUAGCUGGUCUGAGAGGACGAUCAGCCACAAUGGCACUGAGAUACGGGCCAUACUCCUACGGGAGGCAGCAGUGAGGAAUAUUGCGCAAUGGGCGAAAGCCUGACGCAGCAACGCCGCGUGGGCGAUGAAGGCCUUCGGGUUGUAAAGCCCUUUUCAGGGGGACGAGGAAGGACGGUACCCCUGGAAUAAGUCUCGGCUAACUACGUGCCAGCAGCCGCGGUAAAACGUAGGAGGCGAGCGUUAUCCGGAUUUACUGGGCGUAAAGCGCAUGCAGGCGGCUUCGUAAGUCGGAUGUGAAAUCUCCCGGCUCAACUGGGAGGGGUCAUUCGAUACUGCGAGGCUUGAGGGCAGGAGAGGGGAGUGGAAUUCCCGGUGUAGUGG